AGUGUUGUAUACUGUAGAUAGUGGUGUUGUAGUGUUGUAUACUGUAGAUAGAGGUGUUGUAUACUGUAGAUAGUGGUGUUGUAGUGUGGUAUACUGUAGAUAGUGGUGUUGUAGUGUUGUAUACUGUAGAUAGUGGUGUUGUAUACUGUAGAUAGUGGUGUUGUAGUGUUGUAUACUGUAGAUAGUGGUGUUGUAUACUGUAGAUAGUGGUGUUGUAGUGUUGUAUACUGUAGAUAGUGGUGUUGUAUACUGUAGAUAGUGGUGUUGUAGUGUUGUAUACUGUAGAUAGUGGUGUUGUAGUGGUGUAUACUGUAGAUAGUGGUGUUGUAUACUGUAGAUAGUGGUGUUGUAUACUGUAGAUAGUGGUGUUGUAGUGUUGUAUACUGUAGAUAGUGGUGUUGUAGUGUUGUAUACUGUAGAUAGUGG
ensembl:lncRNA